UCACAAAUCGCUUGUGCUGUUGACCAAAAACUGCUUUGCCAAGUCUCAGAAAGCCAAGACCAGCAGUAUGGAGCUGAUGGCCCAGGAGGCUGAUACCUCUAAUGCCUGUGGACCCAAGUGGACCUGGAAAGAACUGGAGGACUUAAUCAACAUUUGGUCGGAGCAAAGGAUCAUAGACAGGCUGGAAAUUAGGAGGAAUAAGCCCGUUUAUGUCAAGAUCACAAAGGGCAUGCAGCUGCGAGGGCACAAUCGUGUCUGGACCCAGGUUUGGUGCAAGAUCAAGUCCUUGAGAUCGGUGUUUUACAAAGCCAAAGAUGCAAACUCUUGUUCUGGGGCAGGUUGCACAAUUGGCCCUUUCUAUGACAAGCUGUCCAUCAUUCUCUCCAAGGAUGCAGGUAACAACCCAGGUAUGGAGACUUUAAGCACCGGGGAGUGGGGGUGUGACAGGAGGAGGAGGUAGAAAA